AGGUAACUUUGGAGUUGGCUCUUGUCUAUGUUCCUUGGAACAGGACGUCACAGAGGGUGAGAAUCCCGUGCGAUGAGAUGCCCAAUUCUAUGUAAAGUGCUUUCGAAGAGUCGAGUUGUUUGGGAAUGCAGCUCUAAGUGGGUGGUAAAUUCCAUCUAAAGCUAAAUAUUGGCGAGAGACCGAUAGCGAACAAGUACAGUGAUGGAAAGAUGAAAAGAACUUUGAAAAGAGAGUGAAAAAGUACGUGAAAUUGUUGAAAGGGAAGGGCUUGAGAUCAGACUUGGUAUUUUGCGAUCCUUUCCUUCUUGGUUGGGUUCCUCGCAGCUUACUGGGCCAGCAUCGGUUUGGAUGGUAGGAUAAUGACUAAGGAAUGUGGCUCUACUUCGGUGGAGUGUUAUAG
rnacentral:rRNA from 1 species